GAUGAACGCUGGCGGCGUGCCUAAUACAUGCAAGUCGAGCGAACGGACGAGAAGCUUGCUUCUCUGAUGUUAGCGGCGGACGGGUGAGUAACACGUGGAUAAUCUACCUAUAAGACUGGGAUCACUUCGGGAAACCGGAGCUAAUACCGGAUAAUCUUUUGAACCGCAUGGUUCAAUAGUGAAAGACGGUCUUGCUGUCACUUCUAGAUGGUUCCGCGCUGCAUUAUCUAGUUGGUAAGGUCACGGCUUACGAAGGCAACGAUGCAUAGCCGACCUGAGAGAGUGAUAGGCCACACUGGAACGGAGACGCGGUCAAGACUCCUGAGGGAGGCAGCAGUAGGGAAUGGUACGCAAUGGGCGAAAGCCUGACGGAGCGGGGGCGCGUGAGAGAUGAAGGUCUUCGGAGCGUAAAACUCUGUUAUGAGGGAAGAACAGAUGUGUAAGUAACUGUGCAGAUAGUGACGGUACCUAAUCAGAAAGCAACGGCUAACUACGUG
rnacentral:rRNA from 1 species